AUUCCAGCUCCAAUAGCGUAUAUUAAAGUUGUUGCAGUUAAAAAGCUCGUAGUUGGAUUUCUGGUGGGAGCACGGGUCGGCCUUCACGGGUUGUACUGUUGUUGCGUCCCGCCGUUUCGGAGGGAAUGGUCUCGCUAUUAAGUUAGCGUGAUCGGGAACUCUGUCGUUUACUGUGAAAAAAUUAGAGUGUUCAAAGCAGGCCUCCGCUGUGAAUACAUUAGCAUGGAAUAAUAAGAUAGGACUGUAGUGCUAUUUUGUUGGUUUGCGUACUAUGGUAAUGAUUAAUAGGGAUAGUUGGGGGUAUUCAUAUUCAAUUGUCAGAGGUGAAAUUCUUGGAUUUAUGGAAGAUGAACUACGGCGAAAGCAUUUACCAAGGAUGUUUUCAUUA
rnacentral:rRNA from 1 species